rnacentral:rRNA from 1 species
AUGUACAAAGAUAUAACCGAGCUUGUUGGCAUGGAAGAGGAAAGGGACGCGCUGAUUUAUAGGUUAGCAGAAGGUGGCGAGGGGUCAAAGCAACAACUGAAGACAAUUUCUGUCGUCGGGCUAGGCGGACUGGGCAAGACAACCCUUGUAAGAGCAGUGUAUGAGAAGAUCAAAACUCAGUUUGAUUGCUGGGCUUUUGUUUCAGUGUCUCGAACUCCCGACAUGAAGAAAAUUUUCAAGGACAUGCUCUAUGGACUUGACGAGCACAAGUUUGAAGAAAUACAUAGCACAUCAAGGGAUGAAAAGCUGCUCAUUGACAAACUCCGUGAGUUUCUUGAGCACAAGAGGUACCUCAUCGUAGUUGAUGACAUAUGGGAUGAGAAAAUAUGGGAUAUUAUCAAGUGUGCUUUAUCUAGCAACAAUCUUGGUAGUCGAAUAAUCACAACAACUCGCAGCAUCAAUGUCUCUGAAGCAUGCUGCUCUUCUGGUGUUGACAUAAUUCAUAGAAUGAAACCUCUUUCCGAUAGAAACUCCCAGAGGCUCUUCUAUAGAAGAAUAUUUCAGAAUGAGCAUGGAUGUCCCGUUGAGUUGGAAGAAGUGUCCAUAGAUAUCUUGAGGAAAUGUGGCGGGGUACCAUUAGCCGUUAUUGCUAUCGCUAGUCUACUGGCUAGUAAUCAACAGAUGAAGUCAAAGGAUCAAUGGUGCAAUUUGCUCGAGUCUAUUGGGCAUGGACUUAUUGGAGGUGAUGUUGUGGAGGACAUGAAGAAGAUAUUAUCAUUUAGCUAUUAUGAUAUGCCUCCCCAUCUAAAGAGUUGUUUCUUAUAUUUAAGUAUAUUUCCAGAAGACUGCGAGAUUGAGAUAGAGAGAUUGAUUUGGAGGUGGAUAGCUGAAGGUCUUAUCCAUCAUGAAGAACAAGGGAAGAGUUUAUUUGAGGUUGGCGAGAGUUAUGUCAAUGAGCUAAUAAAUAGAAGUAUGAUCAUGCCAGUAGAGAUUGAUUGUGACAAGCUGCAAUCGGAGGGUGCAUGA